AAUAAAAACGCGGGUCUUGUGCUUCGGUUCAGUAUCCAAUUCUUAUCAAGAUUUCGUCUCGCAAGGCCAUAUUCUCAGUUCACAAGAUAGAAACGGAAUUAAAGUCCUUUUACAAGACAUCAUCAAGACUGUAAGGAAACACAAACAUCUGAACUCGUGAAAUGGAAAGGGCGCUGGUAACAUGUCACGCGCGCUUGAAAGAGCAGCUGUCACAAAAAGCCGAUCAACAUGAAAGUCUGCAAAAAGCGAACAGUCAACAUAGUCAAGUCGAACGGCUUUUUCCAGAAUUUUUCUCCGGUUGCAACGAACCACGUUUCAAAGAAAGCUGCAAAGACAAGGCUUACACGCAUUCGAAGGCGGAACAAGGGCUCGACCCGUUGAUUCAGUCGUGGUUGAGCUUAUAUGGUGGGAACGCAUGCGUCCAUUAAACAUCACUUUUCCACGUUUUCAUGAAAGAACAAUUCUAAGACUACUUGUCUUUUUUAGGCAGAACAGAGACAGUGACAACAAAAAUACUCUGAAACUUCUGAGCGGACGAGAGAAUAAUUCUGAGAUCUCAGUUUUUAUUAAGGUUUCAUGAUAAGAGAUGUAUUUCCAUCACCAAAUUGACUAAUAUACCUCGAGGUUACAAAACAAUAUACAGGAGUGAAAUUAAUUUUCACACUUUUUUUAAGGCACUUUUAGUUUGUCAUGAAAUGACACUAGAUCUGUGCACACCUAUCGUUUUCUCAGAAAUAUUUUUUAAAAUUUGUCCCUAAUUUCGAUCACUUUAGAGAAGUAGGUUGAAUUAAGUCUGUUAUGUUUAUGAUGUUUUCUGCUUAAGUUCACUUACGUUCAGGUGAAAAAGAUUUUGAUGUAAAGUGAAAUCGAGACUGUUAAUUCAUUAAAGAUCUCGACUCAGAAUUUUUCUUCAAACGUUGCACAUUUAA